GCGCAGGACAGGGGGUUGCCAUGGCAACCCCCCGUUCUGCCCGCCCCUGGAUGUCAAGGGGCUCUGGAAAGAAGAUGGAGGCCGUACCUGCAGGAGAAGAUGCCUGGGGACCUGGGAUCUUCGCUGGAGCCUGCAGGAUCCUGAUCAGGGUUGAAAAACAAAUCAUGGUACAGAAGAUUGCUCUGGUUUCUUGCGGAAUAUUUAUAACUUAGCACGUCAGCGGAGAAUACAUACAGUGAGCCAUCUGGUCCUGCUGUGAUUUAUUACAUGAAUUUGACACUGUCAAUGGCCUACCAGACAGAAGUCUGCAGAAAGUUUACCACGUCCAUGCUUAAAGUAUGAAAAAUAUCAG